GACGUAGGGGGCAAGCGUUGUCCGGAUUUAUUGGGCGUAAAGAGCGUGUAGGCGGCCAGGUAGGUCUGCUGUGAAAACUCGAGGCUUAACCUCGAGAUGUCGGCGGAAACCAUCUGGCUAGAGUCCGGAAGAGGAGAAUGGAAUUCCCGGUGUAGCGGUGAAAUGCGCAGAUAUCGGGAAGAACACCCGUGGCGAAGGCGGUUCUCUGGGACGGUACUGACGCUGAGACGCGAAAGCUAGGGGAGCGAACGGG
rnacentral:rRNA from 1 species